rnacentral:rRNA from 1 species
ACACCGGACGGUCUUUGGUGAUCAUAGUAACUUUUCGAAUCGCAUGACUUUACGUCGGCGAUGGUUCAUUCAAAUUUCUGCCCUAUCAAGUUUCGAUGGUAGGAUAGAGGCCUACCAUGCUUUUUACGGGUAACGGCGAAUUAGGGUUCGAUUCCGGAGAGGGAGCCUGAGAAACGGCUACCACAUCUAAGGAAGGCAGCAGGCGCGCAAAUUACCCAAUCCUGAUUCAGGGAGGUAGUGACAAUAAAUAACAAUCCAGGACUUCGGUCUUGGAAUUGGAAUGAGAACAAUUUAAAUCUCUUAUCGAGGAACAAUUGGAGGGCAAGUCUGGUGCCAGCAGCCGCGGUAAUUCCAGCUCCAAUAGCGUAUAUUAAAGUUGUUGCAGUUAAAAAGCUCGUAGUUGAAUUUUAGGCCUGGUUGGACGGUCUGCCUUUGGUUUGUACUGUCCUGACUGGGUCUUACCUUCUGGUGAGCUGUCGUGUUGUUUACUCAGCGCGGCAGGGAACCAGGACUUUUACUUUGAAAAAAUUAGAGUGUUAAAGCAGGCAUUCGCUUGAAUACAUUAGCAUGGAAUAAUAGAAUAGGACUUUGGUUCUAUUAAGAAGGGAUCUAGGACCGAAGUAAUGAUAAUAGGGAUAGUUGGGGGCAUUAGUAUUAAUUGUCAG